rnacentral:rRNA from 1 species
GACGAACGCUGGCGGCGUGCUUAACACAUGCAAGUCGAACGGAAAGACCCUGCUUUUGUGGGGUGCUCGAGUGGCGAACGGGUGAGUAACACGUGAGUAACCUGCCCUUGACUUUGGGAUAACUUCAGGAAACUGGGGCUAAUACCGGAUAGGAGCUCCUGCUGCAUGGUGGGGGUUGGAAAGUUUCGGCGGUUGGGGAUGGACUCGCGGCUUAUCAGCUUGUUGGUGGGGUAGUGGCUUACCAAGGCUUUGACGGGUAGCCGGCCUGAGAGGGUGACCGGCCACAUUGGGACUGAGAUACGGCCCAGACUCCUACGGGAGGCAGCAGUGGGAAUAUUGCACAAUGGGCGGAAGCCUGAUGCAGCAACGCCGCGUGCGGGAUGACGGCCUUCGGGUUGUAAACCGCUUUCGCCUGUGACGAAGCGUGAGUGACGGUAAUGGGUAAAGAAGCACCGGCUAACUACGUG